CAGAUGGUUUAUACCUAUCCAAUCAGAGAGUGGGUGGAGCUAUUACCAGAUGGUUUAUACCUAUCCAAUCAGAGAGUGAGUGGAGCUAUUACCAGAUGGUUUAUACCUAUCCAAUCAGAGAGUGGGGUGGAGCUAUUAGCAGAUGAUUUAUACCUAUCCAAUCAGAGAGUGGGGUGAUUUAUACCUAUCCAAUCAGAGAGUGGGGUGAAGGGAUUUAUACCUAUCCAAUCCCUUCAGACCUCUAGUGUCCAGCCCUGUUCCUGGAGAGACACCCUCCUGUCUGUUUUAUCUCCAACCCUGUUCCUGGAGAGAUACCCUCCUGUAGGUUUUAUCUCCAACCCUGUUCCUGGAGAGAUACCCUCCUGUAUGUUUUAUCUCCAACCCUGUUCCUGGAGAGAUACCCUCCUGUAGGUUUUAUCUCCAACCCUGUUCCUGGAGAGAUACCCUCCUGUAUGUUUUAUCUCCAACCCUGUUCCUGGAGAGAUACCCUCCUGUAGGUUUUAUCUCCAACCCUGUUCCUGGAGAGAUACCCUCCUGUAGGUUUUAUCUCCAACCCUGUUCCUGGAGAGAUACCCUCCUGUAUGUUUUAUCUCCAACCCUGUUCCUGGAGAGAUACCCUCCUGUAGGUUUUAUCUCCAACCCUGUUCCUGGAGAGACACCCUCCUGUAGGUUUUAUCUCCAACCCUGUUC